UACGUAUGGUGCAAGCGUUAUCCGGAUUUACUGGGUGUAAAGGGAGCGUAGGUGGUCUUGUAAGUCAGAAGUGAAAUGCCGGGGCUCAACCCCGGAGCUGCUUUUGAAACUGCAGGACUGGAGUGCAGGAGAGGUAAGUGGAAUUCCUAGUGUAGCGGUGAAAUGCGUAGAUAUUAGGAGGAACACCGGUGGCGAAGGCGGCUUACUGGACUGUAACUGACACUGAGGCUCGAAAGCGUGGGGAG
rnacentral:rRNA from 1 species